GGUCAUGAGCGCGGUUACGGUAGCGUUGAUGACGUCAACGACGACGACCUCGGGCAACGGAUCAGGGAUUUUUUUUUUUAAUAGUUCGGCCCUUUCGUGGGUUUCAGAUCCCUUUCCAAACCUGAACCCAUAACCGUGAGGACAAAAAAGACAACCCCCCCAUAACAGCAUGUAUGGAGAGGAAAGAUGGAUAACAAAAUGCUGGAGUAACUCUGCGGGGCAGGCAGCAUCUCUGAAGGAAAAGAAUGGGUCGGGACCAUUCAGAAUUUUUUUUUCCCACCAGAGUUGUUCAAAAUCAUAAAAGGUUUCGAUGGAGUAAAUAAGGAGAAACAAAACGUUUCUGGUGUGAAAAGGAUCAAUCAGUGAAAAAAGAUCAACCAGCAUCUGCAGUUCCUUCAUACACAAUCAGUGGAGAAAAUAGAUUUCAUGUGAUUGGCAAAGAAUUUAAAGUGCCAAAUUAAGCUUAUUUGGGUGAUUCUGACCAAUUAAUCUAAUGUCUUUGCUGCCAAAUCAUUCUCAACAUCAAAAGUCAGAAGAUUAUAGAGCUUCUAAGCGUUGCAAAAUGUAGGAACAGUCUUCAGAUCUUGAAGAAAAAAUGGAAACAUUUUGUGUCCACUCUAUCAAAACCUUUUUAUAAUUUGAGAGACCUAUUAGGCCACUCAUCAGCGUUUUCUUUUCUCUCAAGACAAAGACCCAGUUCAUCCUUUAAAGGGUUGUCCUACUUGGGCGACCUAAUUGGCGAGUUUAGAAGAGUUUGAAAAAAUGACAUGUUGAAGACCUCCUUCGACAAUGUAGAAGACCUUCUUCGACCUCCUUUGACUAUGUUGAAGACCAGCUUCGACUAGCUACGACUAACUUCGGGAAAAUUGGACACUGAAUAGUGGAGAUUGAAGACGACCUCCUUUCGACUAUGAUGAAGACUAUCUACGACUACCUUCGACUACCCUCGAUUACCUACGACUAACAUGCUGACCUACUAUGACCAAACCUAAGAGUAAAAAAAAUAUUGAUUUUUUCCAAUGCAACUUUUUUUUACUUGCGGGCAUUUUUUAACAUAUUGAAAAAACGCCGCAACCUAGCUGAGGCCUCAAGUACGCGGAGACCACCCUCGAGCAUGAAGGAGAGUUACGAAGACGUCCUACGACCUUGUGUCGACAAGGCUGCGACUAUGAGUCGAGAGAAAACUCGCCAGAACUCGUGGAUUAGGUCGCCCAAGUGGGACAGGCCCUUUACUAUUAAAUACAAACUUAAUUUCUAGCAUUACCCUCUCCUGAGUCUCUAUAUUCUUCCCAUAAUAUAUCGUUCAGAACUGGAUGCAAUCCUCUAAUCAUGGUCUAACCAAAAUUUGGCAAGGCAUUGUAUAAUUUCUCUUUAGAACAAAAUUCUAAUGUUAAGUUUGUUUUUGUGACUUACCUGAACAAUUACACAUUAGAAAUAAUUUAGCAAAAUGUUGUUGAACUGCUGCAUAGUUACAGACUAGAUUGUACACACAACUAUGGAGCUCACGGAUCAACACUAGGUUAGCUGGCAUAAAUGAUUAACUGUGAUUGUUAAAUCUGGCAUAGGCCAGCUGAGAGAAAGGCUGAGGUUGCAGAAAGAUAAUUGAUCAGCAGAGGUUUACAUACAGUAAAAACACUAAUAUAACUGCAGUUCCAUAGAAUAGAUAUCAUUUCUUUCAUCAGCCACAUGAUUGAAUUGGUGAUGUUGACGUGACUAAGUAUCAUUGACAGCAAGUCAAGAAUUGAAUGCCAGUUUUUUCAUUAGAAAUAUUUGUGCCAAAAAAAUUAAAGAAUACUUACAAGUAAACUUUGAUUUUCUCUAAGGAUCUGGGGAGUGUUGUUAAAUGAGAAAAUAAUUAUUUUGUCUGAAUUAACUUGACCGUAGCAUGCAGCUUUAAGUAGUUGAGGUUGGAUUGUGUUGGACACUGGAGUGGAGGCCCUGACUGAUGGAGGAAACACCAGGAGCAGUUGUGGGAAAAUAAGCCAUUGCAAAUAAUUUUCUAUCUGUGACUGACUAGAUAAGAAUUAAGUCAGAUCAUUAUGGUCCCCUCAGCAGGACAAUUUGAUGUGCCAAUUUGAAUUAAUGAGGGGAAGAAGCCUGACGUGGGAGAUACAGCAUGGUAUUCUGAGAAAAAACAGCGUAAAUUUGGAGAAGAAAUGAAGGGUCAAACAUGGAGUGGUGUCAUAUUAAUAUGUUUAAUUUAGUAUUAAACAUGAUUUGAUAUAGUAUCACCUAUUAUUAAAGUCACAGGUGUUAAGGUGCACUAAUAUAUUCCAGCUUAAUAUUAAUAAACCUUCAACAGUGAUCAGCACCCAGAUCCCAACAUUUCAAUUUUGUAACUAUCUCAGGUGAAUCAAAAUCUUCCAUUUUAUGACUAUUUUUUUUCCUACCAUGUUCGUUGUUAACUACUUUCACUCCAAUUUCACAUAUUCACUCCUUACCCACGACCAACAGAAUACAAAUCCACGCCUUCAUACAAUAAACUACAACUUUUGGAAUGAAUACUGCUUCGCUCUUUGUGCUACAAUUCUUUCAGGACAUGGCACAGAUAGUUCCCAUGAUAGCACAUGCUGAUCUUUAUCCUUUA